AUGACUGCUAAAUGUUCUUGCAAGCUUUUUGAGUCCAAUGGAAUCGUGUGCCGCCAUAUUAUCCGAGUGUUGAGGGGUGCGAAAAUAAAUGAAUUGCCAAGAAUUUAUGUUCUUAAGCGGUGGGAGAGAAAUUGCAAAAGGGACAUUAUCUUCGAUGGGGAAGGGAACAUGCUUGAAGAGAAUUUAAUUGACCCGGUUGACAUGGCUAUGAAAAGGAAGAUAGCUCUCAUUAGGAACAAGCUAGAAGAUCUCAUUCAGAAGUCUAAAGGUUCAAUGGAAGGAAUUGAAUUCCUGCACACUAGUUUGUGCAAUGCUGAGAUGGCUUUAGCCCAUCUCGUACCAGCUGUAGCAUGCAACACACGCGAAAAUGAGGAGUCAUUUAUCGGGAGCAUCAUUCCAAAGCACGUUACCAUCCACACACCUGCUGAUAUCAAUGCAAGGGGCACUUGCUCUAGAAUAAAGGGACACAGGGAUGCUGUGAGGAGUGGGUCGAGUGAGAAAAAAAGAAGGCCCGGAAUCCAUCAAAAAGUCGCACGCAAAUGUAGCAUUUGUAAGGAAGUGGCGUUCCAUGAUGCAAGGACAUGCUCUAAGAAACAAAUGACACAACAAUAG
rnacentral:rRNA from 1 species